ACGGAGGAUCCAAGCGUUAUCCGGAUUUAUUGGGUUUAAAGGGUCCGUAGGCGGGCUUUUAAGUCAGUGGUGAAAUCCCAGAGCUCAACUCUGGAACUGCCAUUGAUACUGAAGGUCUUGAAUUUAGUUGAGGUGGGCGGAAUACGUUAUGUAGCGGUGAAAUGCAUAGAUAUAACGUAGAACACCGAUUGCGAAGGCAGCUCACUAAGCUAACAUUGACGCUGAUGGACGAAAGCGUGGGGAGCGAACAGG
rnacentral:rRNA from 1 species